rnacentral:rRNA from 1 species
AGAGUUUGAUUCUGGCUCAGAGUGAACGCUGGCGGCGUGCUUAACACAUGCAAGUCGAACGAGAACGGGUUAUAGCUUGCUAUAAUUGUCAGCUAAGUGGCGCACGGGUGAGUAAUGUAUAGGUAAUAUGCCUCUUACUAAGGGAUAACAAUUGGAAACGAUUGCUAAUACCUUAUACUCCUUGUUAACUUAAGUUAAUAAGGGAAAGAUUUAUUGGUAAGAGAUUAGCCUGUAUUGUAUCAGUUAGUUGGUGGGGUAAUGGCCUACCAAGACUAUGACACAUAACUGGUUUGAGAGGAUGAUCAGUCACACUGGAACUGAGACACGGUCCAGACUCCUACGGGAGGCAGCAGUGGGGAAUAUUGCACAAUGAACGAAAGUCUGAUGCAGCAACGCCGCGUGGAGGAUGACACAUUUCGGUGCGUAAACUCCUUUUAUAUGAGAAGAUAAUGACGGUAUUAUAUGAGUAAGCACCGGCUAACUCCGUGCCAGCAGCCGCGGUAAUACGGGGGGUGCAAGCGUUACUCAGGUGCUGCACGGCUGUCGUCAGCUCGUGUCGUGAGAUGUUGGGUUAAGUCCCGCAACGAGCGCAACCCUCGUGNUUAGUUGCUAACAGUUCGGCUGAGAACUCUAAACAGACUGCCUACGCAAGUAGGAGGAAGGUGAGGACGACGUCAAGUCAUCAUGGCCCUUACGUCCAGGGCUACACACGUGCUACAAUGGGAUAUACAAAGAGCCGCAAUACGGUGACGUGGAGCAAAUCUUAUAAAAUAUCUCCCAGUUCGGAUUGUAGUCUGCAACUCGACUACAUGAAGUUGGAAUCGCUAGUAAUCGUAGAUCAGCUAUGCUACGGUGAAUACGUUCCCGGGUCUUGUACUCACCGCCCGUCACACCAUGGGAGUCGAACUCAUUCGAAGCGGGGAUGCUAAAAUAGCUACCUUCCACAGUGGAUUUGGCGACUGGGGUGAAGUCGUAACAAGGUAACCGUAGGAGAACCUGCGGUUGGAUCACCUCCUUUCU